AGGCUGGCAAUAUAGCUCAGCAGUUCCUUCGCGUGCCCUCUGAUUUAUCAGACUAACCCUCUCGGGGGUUCAAAACCUGCGGGCGCUACCCAGCCUUUUU
rfam:Xenopus laevis strain J chromosome 3L, whole genome shotgun sequence.